CACGUAGGCGGCUCUUUAAGUCAGGGGUGAAAUCCUGGAGCUCAACUCCAGAACUGCCUUUGAUACUGAGGGGCUUGAGUCCGGGAGAGGUGGGUGGAACUGCGAGUGUAGAGGUGAAAUUCGUAGAUAUUCGCAAGAACACCAGUGGCGAAGGCGGCUCACUGGCCCGGUACUGACGCUGAGGUGCGAAAGCGUGGGGAGCAAACA
rnacentral:rRNA from 1 species